UGACAACGCAUCUGUUCAUCACACAUCCAGCUAAUUGUGGACACGAACCACUUAAAUCCUAAAGUCUGUUACAUAUGGGUUGUGCAAGUUACACUAAUGGCCGUCUGGAGAACUUUAGUAGAGAUAUAAGGAGUGCAGGCAUUCUGCCGUAUUUACCUGUCGAGUGAAGUCGAUUCCGUUUUGUUCGAUAUCUGUGGGAAGAAGGGAAUAUUGUCAAAUGGAGAAAUACACAAUAUUAAAAACUUGUGUAUAAAAACUAAACAAACCUUUGCACCAUGGGAAAGAACAGCUUGUGUUUUCCCCAAAAACAAUUGAUGUUUGUUAAAGAACCAUUGUUGUAAAUGAGACUUUAAGAAGAACGUUUUUUUCAAAUGUUAAAAAAGAUUUAGAAAAUGAAUUAGACAUUUAAAGAUGUUAUACGUUUUUUUUGUGUAUGCUUCAAUAAAGAAACAAAGACUGAUUAGUUCUUUAGAUAAUUGGUUUUGAAAAUAUUAUGUGUAUCUGUGAAGGAUCUUAAAGAAACUUCCAUAUAAUGUAAAGGGUAUAGGAGUAUUGUUUUCUUUUAAACCUUUAAAAAAACAUUUUUUUUUUACUAGUGCUUGGCAAAAUUACCUUAAACUGAUUAUUUUAAUGAUUGACAAAAACAGUUUUUUCUUUGGUAGAAACAUUUGUAAUUAUUUUUAAAGUAGUAUUAUUAACAGCAGGGCUUGUACAGGCUUGAAGGCAUGGAAAAGUCAUGAAAAUCAUGGAAAUUUAUUGGUUAAAAGUGUAUGAACAAAUGAAAAAAUAUGUAACCACAAUAAUUAUGUUUGUUAUUUUAGUUAGAUGUGAACUUUGGUUUAGAUUUUUGUUCAUUUUGAAUAUAUUGCUCAGUCCUUUUCCUCAUCAUUUCAAUUUUUAUCUCCAGACAUGGUUCAAGGACAUUUUUAUCAUUAUGUAAAGAAACUUUGGUGGUUCCUGUGGAGUUUAGAUUUGUGUAGUUCUGUUGUCAUUUUUAAAUUGUUCUUUCAACAAUCAGUUAUGGUAAGAUUCUUUUAUUUUUAACAGCAUUCUGAACAUGAUACUCUCUCUGAAUUGUCUCUUUCUAACGCCUAAAUGUUUUAUUCUUGUCAGUGUUCAUCUCUCCAGGACUAUGGGGGGCUUAUAGCGGCGAAUUCCGUUCACCUUGUGCAGUGGCUGUGGGGGUUCAAAGGUCUCCAGUGGCAGGUAAUCUCUCCUGAUUUGACAUUCAAAUGGGCCUGUGUGAGGCUGUGGUUAGCGCAUCAGUGCACGCUCGUCCCGCGCUAUGGAAAUCGGCCCUCCUCCCCGAGCCAAACUUCCAGUAUGGAAAUGAAUCACCUAUGCAAAUUUUCAGGUAUCCACGGCAACCUUUUUCAGGCCCUAGUAUUUGAAUGUUUACAAACCCCCAGGUGCAUCUCUUAGUUGUUUCUUCUCGUUUGUGGUCUUUUUCUUACUCGCCUCUUUCUUUUUCUCUCUUUCUUACAUACACACACACAGACACACACGUAUACAUACUCACAACCAGCACAUGCAUUUAUACAAACAUCAAAAUAUUGCCUCAAAACUUUGGCUGAAACUUGUUCUAACCAAAAGAAGGUUGAAGAACCCACAUUUCAGAUUCAACAUUUGUCUAUUUGUGAUAGCUCUAGGGACAUCUAAUUGUAUUCGCCCACAACACAGUAAUUUAUAGGUAAAUCUUGAUUGGAAAUUCUGGCCCAGGAUUUGUUAGAGAGUGUAGAGGGCUACGUUCAUGUUCACCAGGCUGAAAUGACUCAAAUUCUUCUUUUUUUUUUAAUUUGCCCAAAUGUGACAGAUCUAUUUUUGCCCAGAUUGGAUAUGUAUCAGAUUUGUGGACUCCAACUUGUAACUAAUGUAAACAGUCAAAUUGUACUUACUGCAUUAUUUUUAAGACUGUAUGCAUGCACUCAGUGCUGUUGUCACCAUCAGCCAGAAACAGUGUUGUUCCGAAUUCUGACUCCCUGCCAGAAUCCACCACAGAUAGCAGAUUAUGUUUUACGUUUUGUUCAUGAAUAACUAGUAAUAGUACUAAAAGCACAUUUUGCUAGCCUGUUAGAGAACACCACUGCCAAAGCACAGAGCCAUUGCAUUAGCAAUAGUUCAGAUCCGUUUGAGAUGUAUAUAUCUCAAAGAAAGCACAUGCUAACCUCCCAGCACUGGUGUCAUUCCUAACUAGUGGAUAGAAAUCUGAAAAACAUCAAAUUGUUCUGGAAAUUGUGUUAAAAUAAAUAUGGAUGGACAGAUGACAAUAUUCUCAGGAAAACUAAUGAUUUAUGUGUUAAUAUAAAACACAAAAACAAGCAGUAUUAAUAUUGAGAGUCAUAACAACUUGUAUUUUCUGAUAUGUUAUUGUUUUCAUAAUUGUAUUUCUCCGAAAGUCUUAUUUAAUCUGCAUGUUUACAUACACAUUUUAGUAAAAUACCUUGAUGAUAAAGAAAUUGGAGCUAAUGUAAAGUUUUAAAAGUAAGGAUGCACCCUUUUCCCGUCCGAUUUUUUAAAUCACACCUCAAUACAAAGUUUACAUUUUUUCCUUUCAAAAUGUAUUUUUAUACCAUUUUUAUACCAAAGGUCAACUCUCUGAAUAAGGAUUACAACAUUGCCAGGAAAACCAAAUGUUCUGAAUGUUUCUUAGUUUGUUAUGUUCAAAUUAAAUUUAUUUGUACAGUGCCUUAGAAAAACUGAAAAACUUUACAGGAAUCUAGUAAUAGGACAAAGGAUCAACAACACAUAAAUCAAGGAUCAAGCCAACCUCAAAGUGGCAAGGAAAACUCCCUCAGUGCACUCACAAGGAAGGACUGCAACACAAAACGUUCUUUUUCCAAAUUGGGCUCUCCUGGAAUCCAAGUUCCUCAUUUCAGAAGCUGUGUUCCGUACUGAGGAUACGAUCCUGUGUUUCAGUACAGCCUCAGGUUUUCCUGUUAAAUUCCAUCAAACACUUGUUUGGUAAACAAGCUACAGGGUCGGAAAACAGCCAAAGUGAAGAACGAACUGCUUACCUGUGUGUUCAUGCGGAGG